rnacentral:rRNA from 1 species
AGUGAACGCUGGCGGUAGGCCUAACACAUGCAAGUCGAACGGCAGCACAGUAAGAGCUUGCUCUUACGGGUGGCGAGUGGCGGACGGGUGAGGAAUACAUCGGAAUCUACUUUUUCGUGGGGGAUAACGUAGGGAAACUUACGCUAAUACCGCAUACGACCUACGGGUGAAAGCAGGGGAUCUUCGGACCUUGCGCGAUUGAAUGAGCCGAUGUCGGAUUAGCUAGUUGGCGGGGUAAAGGCCCACCAAGGCGACGAUCCGUAGCUGGUCUGAUAGGAUGGUCAGCCCCACUAGAACUGAGACACGGUCCAGACUCCUACGGGAGGCAGCAGUGGAGAAUAGUGGACAAUGGGCGGAAGCCGGAUCCAGCCAUACCACGUGGGUGAAGGAAGCCUUCGGGUUGUAAUGCCCUUUUGUUGGGAAAGAAAAGCAGCAGGUUAAUACCCCGCUGUUCUGACGGUACCCAAAGAAUAAGCACCGGCUAACUUCGUG